UACGGAGGGGGCUAGCGUUGUUCGGAAUUACUGGGCGUAAAGCGCACGUAGGCGGCUUUGUAAGUUAGAGGUGAAAGCCCGGGGCUCAACUCCGGAACUGCCUUUAAGACUGCAUCGCUAGAAUUGUGGAGAAGUAAGUGGAAUUCCGAGUGUAGAGGUGAAAUUCGUAGAUAUUCGGAAGAACACCAGUGGCGAAGGCGACUUACUGGACACAUAUUGACGCUGAGGUGCGAAAGCGUGGGGAGCAAACAGG
rnacentral:rRNA from 1 species